UACGUAGGGGGCUAGCGUUAUCCGGAAUUACUGGGCGUAAAGGGUGCGUAGGUGAUUUCUUAAGUCAGAGGUGAAAGGCUACGGCUCAACCGUAGUAAGCCUUUGAAACUGGGAAACUUGAGUGCAGGAGAGGAGAGUGGAAUUCCUAGUGUAGCGGUGAAAUGCGUAGAUAUUAGGAGGAACACCAGUUGCGAAGGCGGCUCUCUGGACUGUAACUGACACUGAGGCACGAAAGCGUGGGGAGCAAACAGGAUUAGAUACCCUGGUAGUCCCUGA
rnacentral:rRNA from 1 species